rnacentral:lncRNA from 1 species
ACUCCAUUUCCAGAUAACCUCAACUGGAUAACCAAGAAUCUUCAUAGCUAGUUUGGAUGUGUUAUUUACAUUUUGUCUAAAUCACUCCUCUUUCAAAGGACCUUCAGAGCCAGUGACAGUAUGAAGAAAUAGCCAGCCUAAAUAACCUCACCAUUUAGUUACCAGAGGUUUCUUUGAAUUAAGCCUGAGUAGUGCUGCUAAAGAAUAACUUAGAAGAACCUACAGUAACUGAAAUCCAUAGCUUAAGACUUGGAAAACAAAGCCUGGGUCCCAGCACUGAAAAACACAGCCUGCAAAAGGUCAACGAACUCUACUCAGCCACAAGGACCAGUGAUCACUGCACACAAAAGACCAGCUAAUGACACCCAUCAAUCACAGUGACAGAUAAUCUCUCCCCCUUAUCACAACAAUACACCCACAAAAAAAAACUUGCUGAUCACCAUAAUCACUCAAUCUCCAGAACAGGACAAAAAGCUGAUCCCACAGCUAUAAAUACUUAACUAUCCCACAAACUGCACCAGAGUUCGGACUCCUGUCCUCUGAAGAUGCCAGCAACAGAGACUGGCAAAAGGUUAGGAAGAAAAACCUCAAGAACACGGCCAGACAGCCCGAAAAAUAUACAACAACCACUUGGAAAACAGUUAGGAAUUCACAGUAUUACUAUAUUUCUAAAAGGGUGGGAUUGCAAAAGAUGAAUGAGGAAGUGGACAUUUAUGUAUCUUGGCAGGGCAGAAUGAAGUAAUACAGGUUCUUGAUUUCUGUCUUGAGGGAAGCAUCUUUCACAAACAUGACAGUUGACUUUUCCCCUGUUUUCCUAACUUAUUUAAAUGAAAUUCAGCAGCUUUUUGCCCCAUCUCCAUCUCACCACACCAAAGGCACCAUGAAGACAUUUGGCAGCUUGCUCCUUGUGAGCAUCAUGAUCCUUUGGGUUGAAAUGCCGUGUGGAACGUUGGAACAGGAGACAGAAGGAAGGCUUCGGAUUUGCCCAAUAGAUCUAUGUAGAUGCAGUGGUCCUCUACCUGACGAGUGCACAGAUCAUUUUUCUUGCAAAAGAGGGCUGGUUUGUUGUUAUUCUUGCUGUAAAAAGCGCUGUGUGAAGCCAGCAACAGAAAAACCUGGUCAAUGUCCUCCUGCUAUCGCAAUUGCAUGUUUGAAACCACAGAGAGAUGAAUGCAGAGUGGAUGCUCAAUGUCCACGUAAACAGAAAUGUUGUUAUAAACCCUGCCGUCUCAGUUGUGUAGAUCCAAUAUAAAGAUAAACUAACGUCUGGAUGAGCACCGGAACUAAUUGUGCUUUUAAAAAGAUGUCACCAUCUCUCUGCUGGCUUGGCAAGAUAUUCUGGCAUAAUACUAACAUUUCUGCAUCCAAAUAUUCUCUCUAUCCUAUGCGCAUACACCAAUUUCCCCCCUCAAACCUGAGCUCAAAACUCAGUGGAAAACAGCUCAUUGUCUCCUUUGCUAGCUUGGCAUACAAUGCAGGCAUAAAUACAAUUAAACUUUGUUUCUACAACUGCAUUUCAGUUUUGGUUACUAUCCUAUAUUUUUAAUUACUUUAUUAUUGAGAUAACAGAAAUAUUAGAGUUACAGAACAUAGAUACGGCCAGUUCAACUACACUUCAUAGUUCAGUCAUGCCGAAGUUAAAAAUGUACUUGAACCCAGUAACAUCAAUCAAAUGAGAUCAUUUCGAGAACUAGGAAUCCUAGAAAUUAAAGUUAGCUCACCUGUUGCUUAGAAAACUCGUCAUGAAGUGACAAUAGGUCCACAUGUACUGAUACAGUUUUGUUAAUUCCCAGUUAUGCUUUCAUUUCUCAAGAAUUUGGAACAAAUGUAUGUCAUAUAAUCUGUUUCUCAUUCAGAGUAUAAUGACAAGGAGAGCCUGUGUUUAGGAAAUAUAGCAUUACCUCCAACAGGCAGAUCUCUACUAUUAUACUGUCAUUAUAUUGAAGUGACCCCCUCAGGUGGUUGAUGUUUGAGUGAUAACAAGGGAUUGAUUGAUUGAUUGAUUGAUUGAUUGAUUGAUUGAUUGAUUGAUUGAUUGAUUGAUUGAAUGAAUGAAUGAAUGAAUGAAUGAAUGGAUUUUAGAUACCACCCUAUUAAUGCAAGCACUACUCUGGGUGGUGCACAGGUUGAAACUAAGCCCCACAAAGUCCCACAGAUCAUAGAAUGAUAUCAUAGUCUAACAGUGUAGAUCUAAAAUUCAUCUAAAAUGAGAAAAAAAUAACAUUAACAGCAUCUGUUAGGAUCAA